rnacentral:rRNA from 1 species
CCUACGGGAGGCUGCAGUGAGGAAUAUUGGUCAAUGGGCGCGAGCCUGAACCAGCCAAGUAGCGUGAAGGAUGACUGCCCUCUGGGUUGUAAACUUCUUUUAUAAAGGAAUAAAGUGAGGCACGUAUGCCUUUUUGUAUGUACUUUAUGAAUAAGGAUCGGCUAACUCCGUGCCAGCAGCCGCGGUAAUACGGAGGAUCCGAGCGUUAUCCGGAUUUAUUGGGUUUAAAGGGAGCGUAGAUGGGUUGUUAAGUCAGUUGUGAAAGUUUGCGGCUCAACCGUAAAAUUGCAAUUGAUACUGGCAGCCUUGAGUACAGUAGAGGUAGGCGGAACUCGUUGUGUAGCGGUGAAAUGCUUAGAUAUCACGAAGAACACCGAUUGCGAAGGCAGCCUACUAAACUGCCACUGACAUUGAUGCUCGAAAGUGUGGGUAGCAAACAGGAUUAGAUACCCUUGUAGUC